GGCGGGGCGGCUUCUGAAAGAAGAAGGGGAAGCCGUGAGAUGAGAAACGCCUCCCCGUGCGGAUGGUGCGAGAUCCAAGUAAAGCAAAGCUUAACAUGUACAGCAGUUCAAAAAGGUGAAGGAAGUGAGGCUCCCAAAGUUGAAGUGAUUUGACCAAGGACACCCAGGUCAGAAGUGAACAAACCAGAUUUGAUGCUGUCUUUCUGCCUCCAAGUCAAGAACUCUUUUACUUAUACCAGG